CUUCCCUUUGUCAGUUGUAAGCACAAAUUCUGGUUGCGAAGAAUAGUUGAACUUUGGAACCUAAUGGCAUUCAUGUUACAUAAUAUGUAAUGCAGAACCAGAAUUGAAUCCUGACCAGGCACAACAUCCCUUACCUAGCCUUGGAUAUAAUGAGAGAUUUUGGCUUGUUCUAAUUUUAAGCCAGAAUCAGAAGGAUAAUCCUUUCUCUCAUGGUAGAAGUAAGGCAGCGGGGUUCAUACACAACUGAUCCUAGAAAAUGUCUUGUGAAACUAACAUGGACAUAGUCCUGGCUGCAUGUUAUGUUUCAUAAUUUGACCGCCUUCUUCUUGGUGUGUUGCGUGUUAAAGGAGCUCUCAAAUGGGUUGCUGGCAGAAAAGAGCAAUUCUGUGAUGAGUGGUUCCAGAGAAAUCGAUCAGGCAGAGGUCACCCAAACUGGAGCUAAAGAGAAUAAUAUUUUCAACUGCGGAUAUCACACAAAACUGGAGUUAAAAGCAAGCCAAUUGUAAAAUGAGUCUUUCAUAAGGACAGGCUUGCGUGAUAAGGCCCAAGGUCUGUUUAGUCCAGCAUCCUGUUGCCCACAGUGGCCCACCAGAUGCUUUGCGGAAGCCCACAACUAAGAGAUUAAGGCAUGUCCCCUGCAACUGGUAUUUGGAGGAAUUUCAGAAUGGCUUAUUUCUAGCAUGCUC